rnacentral:rRNA from 1 species
GACGAACCGUGCGAACGUUGUUCGGAAUCACUGGGCUUAAAGGGCGCGUAGGCGGGCCACCAAGUCAGGGGUGAAAUCUUUCGGCUCAACCGGAAAAGUGCCUUUGAUACUGCGGGCCUCGAGGGAGGUAGGGGCGUGCGGAACUUCCGGUGGAGCGGUGAAAUGCGUAGAUAUCGGAAGGAACAUCGGUGGCGAAGGCGGCCUGCUGGGCAGUGGCUGACACUGAGGCGCGACAGCGUGGGGAGCAAACAGG